GUCGAGCGGUAGCACAGAGAGCUUGCUCUCGGGUGACGAGCGGCGGACGGGUGAGUAAUGUCUGGGAAACUGCCUGAUGGAGGGGGAUAACUACUGGAAACGGUAGCUAAUACCGCAUAAUGUCGCAAGACCAAAGUGGGGGACCUUCGGGCCUCAUGCCAUCAGAUGUGCCCAGAUGGGAUUAGCUAGUAGGUGGGGUAAUGGCUCACCUAGGCGACGAUCCCUAGCUGGUCUGAGAGGAUGACCAGCCACACUGGAACUGAGACACGGUCCAGACUCCUACGGGAGGCAGCAGUGGGGAAUAUUGCACAAUGGGCGCAAGCCUGAUGCAGCCAUGCCGCGUGUGUGAAGAAGGCCUUCGGGUUGUAAAGCACUUUCAGCGGGGAGGAAGGCGAUAAGGUUAAUAACCUUGGCGAUUGACGUUACCCGCAGAAGAAGCACCGGCUAACUCCGUGCCAGCAGCCGCGGUAAUACGGAGGGUGCAAGCGUUAAUCGGAAUUACUGGGCGUAAAGCGCACGCAGGCGGUCUGUCAAGUCGGAUGUGAAAUCCCCGGGCUCAACCUGGGAACUGCAUUCGAAACUGGCAGGCUAGAGUCUUGUAGAGGGGGGUAGAAUUCCAGGUGUAGCGGUGAAAUGCGUAGAGAUCUGGAGGAAUACCGGUGGCGAAGGCGGCCCCCUGGACAAAGACUGACGCUCAGGUGCGAAAGCGUGGGGAGCAAACAGGAUUAGAUACCCUGGUAGUCCACGCCGUAAACGAUGUCGAUUUGGAGGUUGUGCCCUUGAGGCGUGGCUUCCGGAGCUAACGCGUUAAAUCGACCGCCUGGGGAGUACGGCCGCAAGGUUAAAACUCAAAUGAAUUGACGGGGGCCCGCACAAGCGGUGGAGCAUGUGGUUUAAUUCGAUGCAACGCGAAGAACCUUACCUGGUCUUGACAUCCACAGAACUUUCCAGAGAUGGAUUGGUGCCUUCGGGAACUGUGAGACAGGUGCUGCAUGGCUGUCGUCAGCUCGUGUUGUGAAAUGUUGGGUUAAGUCCCGCAACGAGCGCAACCCUUAUCCUUUGUUGCCAGCGGUUAGGCCGGGAACUCAAAGGAGACUGCCAGUGAUAAACUGGAGGAAGGUGGGGAUGACGUCAAGUCAUCAUGGCCCUUACGACCAGGGCUACACACGUGCUACAAUGGCAUAUACAAAGAGAAGCGACCUCGCGAGAGCAAGCGGACCUCAUAAAGUAUGUCGUAGUCCGGAUUGGAGUCUGCAACUCGACUCCAUGAAGUCGGAAUCGCUAGUAAUCGUAGAUCAGAA
rnacentral:rRNA from 1 species